AUGAACGCUGGCGGCGUGCCUAACACAUGCAAGUCGAGCGAUUUACUUCGGUAAAGAGCGGCGGACGGGUGAGUAACGCGUGGGAAACCUGCCCUGUACACACGGAUAACAUACCGAAAGGUAUGCUAAUACGAGAUAAUAUGCUUUUAUCGCAUGGUAGAAGUAUCAAAGCUUUUGCGGUACAGGAUGGACCCGCGUCUGAUUAGCUAGUUGGUGAGGUAACGGCUCACCAAGGCGACGAUCAGUAGCCGACCUGAGAGGGUGAUCGGCCACAUUGGAACUGAGACACGGUCCAAACUCCUACGGGAGGCAGCAGUGGGGAAUAUUGCACAAUGGGCGAAAGCCUGAUGCAGCAACGCCGCGUGAGCGAUGAAGGCCUUCGGGUCGUAAAGCUCUGUCCUCAAGGAAGAUAAUGACGGUACUUGAGGAGGAAGCCCCGGCUAACUACGUG
rnacentral:rRNA from 1 species